AAACUUGAGAGUUUGAUCAUGGCUCAGAACGUACGCUGGCGGCACGCCUAAUACAUGCAAGUCGAACGAAGUAGCAAUACUUAGUGGCAGACGGGUGAGUAACAUGUGGGUAUCUUCCCUUUGGUGAGGAAUAACACGAGGAAACUUGUGCUAAUACCUCAUAAGUCUUUACGGAGAAAGCUUUAUGCGCCAAUGGAUGAGCCCGCACUUGAUUAGUUUGUUGGUGGGGUAAUGGCCUACCAAGACUAUGAUCAAUAGCUGAUUUGAGAGGAUGAUCAGCCACAUUGGGACUGAGACACGGCCCAAACUCCUACGGGAGGCAGCAGUAGGGAAUCUUGCACAAUGGAGGAAACUCUGAUGCAGCGAUGCCGCGUGAGUGAAGAAGGCCUUUGGGUUGUAAAGCUCUUUCGUCGGGGAAGAAAAUGACUGUACCCGAAUAAGAAGGUCCGGCUAACUUCGUGCCAGCAGCCGCGGUAAUACGAAGGGACCUAGCGUAGUUCGGAAUUACUGGGCUUAAAGAGUUCGUAGGUGGUUAAAAAAGUUGGUGGUGAAAGCCCAGAGCUUAACUCUGGAACUGCCAUCAAAACUUUUUAGCUAGAGUAUGAUAGAGGAAAGCAGAAUUUCUAGUGUAGAGGUGAAAUUCGUAGAUAUUAGAAAGAAUACCAAUUGCGAAGGCAGCUUUCUGGAUCAUUACUGACACUGAGGAACGAAAGCAUGGGUAGCGAAGAGGAUUAGAUACCCUCGUAGUCCAUGCUGUAAACGAUGUGUGUUAGAUGUUGGAAAUUUAUUUUCAGUAUCGCAGCGAAAGCAAUAAACACACCGCCUGGGGAGUACGACCGCAAGGUUAAAACUCAAAUGAAUUGACGGGGACCCGCACAAGUAGUGGAGCAUGUGGUUUAAUUCGAAGAUACGCGCAGAACCUUACCAACACUUGACAUGUUCGUCGCGACUCUAAGAGAUUAGAGUUUUCGGUUCGGCCGGACGAAACACAGGUGCUGCAUGGCUGUCGUCAGCUCGUGUCGUGAGAUGUUGGGUUAAGUCCCGCAACGAGCGCAACCCUUACUUUUAGUUGCUACCAUUUAGUUGGGCACUCUGAAAGAACUGCCAGUGAUAAGCUGGAGGAAGGUGGGGAUGACGUCAAGUCCUCAUGGCCCUUACGUGUUGGGCUACACACGUGCUACAAUGGCAUUUACAAUAGGAAGCAAGACGGCGACGUUAAGCAAAUCCUAAAAAAAUGCCUCAGUUCGGAUUGUACUCUGCAACUCGAGUACAUGAAGCUGGAAUUACUAGUAAUCGCGGAUCAGCGCGCCGCGGUGAAUACGUUCCCGGGUCUUGUACACACCGCCCGUCACACCAUGGGAGUUGGUUCUACCUUAAGGCAAAGCUUAAAACCUUUGACCACGGUAUAGUCAGCGACUGGGGUGAAGUCGUAACAAGGUAGCCGUAGGGGAACCUGCGGCUGGAUUACCUCCUUU
rnacentral:rRNA from 1 species